rnacentral:rRNA from 1 species
UACGUAGGGUGCAGGCGUUAAUCGGAAUUACUGGGCGUAAAGCGUGCGCAGGCGGUUUCUUAAGUCAGAUGUGAAAUCCCCGGGCUCAACCUGGGAACUGCGUUUGAAACUGGGAGACUCGAGUAUGUCAGAGGGGGGUGGAAUUCCACGUGUAGCAGUGAAAUGCGUAGAGAUGUGGAGGAACACCGAUGGCGAAGGCAGCCCCCUGGGAUAAUACUGACGCUCAUGCACGAAAGCGUGGGGAGCAAACAGG